GAUGAACGCUGACAGAAUGCUUAACACAUGCAAGUCAACUUGAACUUCGGUUUGGGUGGCGGACGGGUGAGUAACGCGUAAAGAACUUGCCUCACAGAUAGGGACAACAUUUGGAAACGAAUGCUAAUACCUGAUAUUAUGAUUUUAGGGCAUCCUAGGAUUAUGAAAGCUAUAUGCGCUGUGAGAGAGCUUUGCGUCCCAUUAGCUAGUUGGAGAGGUAACGGCUCACCAAGGCGAUGAUGGGUAGCCGGCCUGAGAGGGUGAUCGGCCACAAGGGGACUGAGACACGGCCCUUACUCCUACGGGAGGCAGCAGUGGGGAAUAUUGGACAAUGGACCAAGAGUCUGAUCCAGCAAUUCUGUGUGCACGAUGAAGUUUUUCGGAAUGUAAAGUGCUUUCAGUUGGGAAGAAAAAAAUGACGGUACCAACAGAAGAAGUGACGGCUAAAUACGUGCCAGCAGCCGCGGUAAUACGUAUGUCACGAGCGUUAUCCGGAUUUAUUGGGCGUAAAGCGCGUCUAGGUGGUUAUGUAAGUCUGAUGUGAAAAUGCAGGGCUCAACUCUGUAUUGCGUUGGAAACUGUAUAACUAGAGUACUGGAGAGGUAAGCGGAACUACAAGUGUAGAGGUGAAAUUCGUAGAUAUUUGUAGGAAUGCCGAUGGGGAAGCCAGCUUACUGGACAGAUACUGACGCUAAAGCGCGAAAGCGUGGGUAGCAAACAGG
rnacentral:rRNA from 1 species